UGCGUCGUCGUCUGCUUCCUCACGGCGACCGCCGCACAGCUAGCGCGCCGUGCUGGCUCGGGCCCCACGGCGGUUCGCCAUUCGGGCGCGCGCCGGCGUCGCGUCCAGGGGGAUUCCCUGCUGCGGAGCAGGAUCUCAUGAUCUCGCCUCCCUCCGCGACGCGCUGGCUAGGCAUCUCUAAUACGCCAAAUACGCGUCGCAUGUUUCAAAGGGCGAUUGGUUGAACUCUGGUUGCGUGUCCAUGUCGUGGCCUCGUGGGCGUUCACCGAGUGUGUUGAGAAGGCUGUGCUGUGAAAUGUGAGCCAGGGUUUUUAGUUAUACUUCUUUAAUGAAGGUAAGAUGGGAGGUUUGAUUUAAGUUUGAUGAAUCCACCAUUAGCCUAAAACGAAUUGUAUUUACUGGUUACAACCUUGAACUUCUCAUAUAUCCGACGGGCGCUUUUUUGAUACGAAAAAGGAUACCCUUACAAUAAGGAAAAGGACGAAACUGUAAUUAUUCUGGAUACCACUCGGCCCACCCACCACUU
rnacentral:lncRNA from 7 species